UAGGGAAUCUUCGGCAAUGGACGAAAGUCUGACCGAGCAACGCCGCGUGAGUGAAGAAGGUUUUCGGAUCGUAAAACUCUGUUGUUAGAGAAGAACAAGGGUGAGAGUAACUGUUCACCCCUUGACGGUAUCUAACCAGAAAGCCACGGCUAACUACGUGCAG
rnacentral:rRNA from 1 species